rnacentral:lncRNA from 1 species
UUGGACGAUGGGCUUGCAAGUUUCUUCUAAAACUUGGUGAUCACAUCUGUUCCAUGUGGACGGUCUAGGUACUAGGGAUACAGUGGUGUGAAAAAUCACCCUACGCAGAUCGUUCCUGCCUACAGGGAAUGAGGUAGGGGGAUGAAGACAGAGAGGUGAGAGGAUAAGGGGGUGGAGUUUAUGGGUAUGUUGAUAACAAGCAAAAAUAUGAACUCUACAAUGUUAGAGGGAGCAAACGCAAUGAAGAGCAAUGAGCAAGGGAAGGAGCUAGAGAGUGGUCAGGGAAAGCCUGUCUGGCCAUCAGUGCUUCCCAACUGAUUGGCUAUUUUUUUAGAAAGACAUUAAUAAAGGAUGUGCCAUAGAGCGGGUGGAGGACUCAGUGGGCAGAAGAGCCACUGAAGAAUCUACUAGAUACAGAAAAUGAUGGUCAUAGGUAAUGGUGGUCGUUCAUUAUUUUUGCAUACCGAUAUCCAAUUGUUCAAGUGUCACUUGUUGAAAAGACUACCAUUUUCCUACGGAGGAAAUAAUCCAAGUUUUAAAAAGUUCCACUUAGUGGUCAUUUCUAUGAACAAAAUGAAUAGUGCUGGAUAACAGAUGAGACUUACAUGAUUCAAAGGCAGUUACGUGAAGCCCUGGGGAAGAGCUUUCCAGGAGAGGCAACGGCAGGUGCACAAGCCCCGAGGUAAGAAAGGGAAAUGUCAAGACCAGAAGGCAGGCUGAUACGGAGGAAUCUUCCAGAAGAAGUCCAAAGGAUGAACUGAGACUGGACUUGAGGCAGGACCUUGUGAGCCCAGAUGGAGGUGGCAAUUGCCAAGUGGAGAAUAAGAAGAAGUGGAAAAAAAUGAAAAUAAGAAAGAUAAUAGGUGGAAGAGAGUCAGGCAGAGUGAAGGAAUCAAAGAGCGGCACAGGACCCUGAGAUCCGCCUAGCAUCCAUUAACAAGUAUUCACGGAGCACCGAUGUGUCAGGAACUGUCCUCCGCCCUGGGACCAUGCUGGGACAUGGACCGAGAAUAGUCACAUGUCUGUGGAGCUAGUGAGGGAGAGAGAUGCCAAAUAAUUAUGGAAAAGGUAUAUCUGCCAAGUAGAGCCACCACCAUUUUGUUGCCUGGCAGAGGUGUGAGAUGCAAGGCUGUUUACAAAGCCCCCAGCAAGAGCAAUCCCAUCAUCAGGAGGUUUGCUUCCCCCCCGGGCCAGCCCUCUCGCUCUCCAUGCCCGUCUUGGCUGCAUGCGUUGUACCUAACACAUUUAACCCGCGUUUCUUAAGAGUUCUGCAAAAUGGUGUCUGCUGGUGUUUGCAAGGGAAGCUCCCGCUGGGCGUCCCGAGCUGGGUGGGAGCUGAGUGUGCGGUUCCCUAACGAGCUGGCGGCCGGCCUGAGCGGCUCUGAUCUCCAAUUCUGACGGCUUGUCCUUCAGGUGACCUAUAUUAUCUGGCACCUCAGUUGCUGCUCACAAAGAAAAAGUAUCACUGGAAGAAAGAAAAAAAAAAUCCCAAGUGAUUGUGUACAUGCUCUUUAUUGAGAAUAUUAAACUCAGACGCCCUCUGCUGGGCAAGACGGGAAGGGGAGGCUGGGAGUAGGGGAGGGUGGCCGGGAGGGCUCAGGAGAAGCCGGGGACGGCCUCCUUCCUGUGAGAUCUGUGGGCAUGAUUCAGGGCAAAGGGCGCCCAUCAGAGCUGCUUUAGGCAAAGGGAAAUACAAAACAAAAGUGAAACCGCUGACAAGGAAAUCAUUUAAUUGGGGAGAAAUGACAACUUCUUCACUUGGAUUUUUUUUUUUCCUGUUCCUAAAAUUGUUGCUUUUGAUAGGUGAGAGGGAAUGGGGUGGGGGAGACUGCUGGACACUGCCAACUUAUUCAUCAAGACAAAGGGUUUGGGUUUCAGGGAAGUCCUAGCAAAGAGUGUGGCUCAGCGGGUAGAAGGGUAGCUGAAAUACCAGGACAUUUUUGAGAGUGAAACAGAGUGCUAUGGAUGAUGAUGCGGACACAGCAGGUAUAGUCCAGAGUGUCCCAGGCAAAUCUGACUACCUAGUCCAGCACUGCACAGAGAGCUUUCUAGGAUGAUAUGAAUGUUUUGCAUCUGUCCUGUCCUAUCUAUCUAUCUAUUUAUUUAUUUAUUUUUGAGACAGAGCCUUUCUCUGUUGCCCAGGCUGGAGUGCAGUGGCACGAUCUCGGCUCACGGCAACCUCCAACUCUUAAGUUCAAGCGAUUCUCGUACCCCAACCUCCCGAGUAGCUGGGAUUACAGGCACCCGCCACCAUGGCUGGCUAAUUUUUGUAUUUUUAGUAGAGACAGGGUUUCGCCGUGUUGGCCAGGAUGGUCUCAAACUCCUGACCUCAGGUGAUCCACCUGCCUCAGCCUCCCAAAGUGCCGGGAUUACAGGCGCGAGCCACUGCGCCCGGACUGUCCUGUCCUAUAUGGUAACCACCACCCACAUGUGGCUACUGGGCUCUUGAAAUGCAGCUACGCAACUGUGAGGGGAUGAAUUCUUAACUUCAUUUAAUUUUUGUUAUUCUGAAUUUACAUUUAAAUAGUCACGUAUGUCUAGUGGCUAUCAGACGGUAGAGCUCUGGUCUUACUAUUCACAGGAACACACCGUGACCCCCAUUGACAGCAGCUAAGACCCCAGGAACAGGCUUGUUGCGAGAGGCCCUCCAAACAAUUUAUUGAAUGAAUAAAAACUCAGUAAUCAAAAGUCACAGAGAUAGAAAUUCACAACACUUCUUGGAGACUUAUAGGAGCUUCCAGAAACACAACUUCUCCCAGGGAGAGUCAAGAGAGCAGUGUCAUUUCCUAUAAAAUGUCCAAGGCCAAUCCCAGGUCCCGGUGUCAGCCCUUGCGUGUGGCACUGGCACCAGCAGCCAGAAAGGUUACUUGUGACUUGUUUUCAGUGCUUUCCUGGGAGUGUCCUGAAAGCUGGCAGUGUUUCUGCCUCGUCAGAAGAGGCCUCAUUCAUUUGGGGUUGUACCAGCAACUUAAAAAGUUUUUUUUUUUCUUCCCUCUUCCAGUGUUAAUAGAUUUUGAAAGAGGCAUUUUUGUUUCUAAUUACAAAUUCCUGGGUGAUGUCAUUAAGCCCUCAAACACCCGGUGAGGGCGGCACUGAAUGGGGAAAGACAAUAUGCUAACAAGUUAUCUGAGGGUGUCAGAAAGAAAUGAUGAAAAACAGUACAGUUGGGGGAAAUGUUUUCCAGCCUGCUUUCUGGUUUUAGCGACUGCAUGGGAAGAGAUAAGACACACAUGGCUUUUAUAAGGAGCCAUCGGGAUCUCUAGGGGACAUGAGGCAGGAGAAAAGAAUUGGGCUGAAAGCAUCCAAUCAUCACAUAUUCACGGAGAAAGAGAUUACAAUAUAGCAGAGGAAGCUCUUCCAGGGCUCCUACAGGGACCUUUGGGACAAAGAUUCAGUGGGCUUUGGGACAGCUUGACUUCAACUAGAUGGUAUUUGAAUAAUCUGCUGGAGAGAAAACAGAUAUAGCACACACUGUCACAUUUAGCGUUGAAACUCUCGGUUUGACUAUGAGUAAUGUUCAGCCAUGCCCAAGGGUCAGGCCUACACUCACUCAGAAACAAGUGGGGAAUUGAAGCAAUUAUUCAGAUAAUCCAUAGACAUAGCUACUGGCCAGUGCUGCACCCCUGAUUUAGCCCAGAAACAGUAAUGCUAUUAUAAGCUGUUGGUGAUUUGUGGAGCAAUCUUGAAUUUAUUAAGGAAAGGAGAUUAUAGAAAAAUCCAGAAUGCCAAUGGGAUGCAUUCAGGUUGAGUCAUGCAGAGUAAGGUGGGAAAUGGAGGGCCUCCCACCCCUGCAAGGAACAUCUUGCUUUAGGCCAAAAUGGAAAUAAAACUUUGGGUUGAAAUUUUGCAGAUGGUUUGUUUCUCCAUAUCACUGUUUUUACAUGUGUAGUUGAUAAAUUUCAUGUUGGAUUGUAUGUGGAUCAAAAGGCAGAAAAUGGUAAAAUGGCAUAUUAAGAAUUUUGAGAUAAUAUGAAUAAAAUAUUAUUUACAGCUGUUUCUUAAUUAGUACCUUCCCAUGAUUUUGAGUGGACUAGCCAGUGGGAAAAAUGUGUUCAUUUUCUUCAGUUGUUCAAAACUACUUUGAACAGAAUAUAGUUUACCUGCCUAUAAUGGAAAACCCAGAUACCAGCAGCUUAGGCAAGAUUUAUGUUUCUCAUUUACUGCAUAAUCUAGAGGUAGAUAGCUAGAGGCAGAGGUAUAAUCCAGAGGUACCUACCUAGAGCUGGGUAGCUGCCUACCUCUACUCUACCCCGUCUCUACUAAAAAUACAAAAAUUAGCCAGGCAUGUGCCUGUAAUCUCAGCUACUCUGGAGUCUGAGGUGGGAGAAUCGCUUGAACCCCUGGAGGCGGAGGUUGCAGUGAGCCGAGAUCGCGCCACUGCACUCCAGCCUGGGCGACAGAGCGAGACUCCGUCUCAAAAAAAAAAAAAAAGAAAAAAAAAGAAAAAAGAAAGAAAGAAAGAAGGGCGACUCAAUUAGACCCAAUUGGGGUAAGCAUCACGUAGACUUUACCAUUUCAAAGAAUCUUUAAAACACGGAAAGUAGUAGUUGAUGUGGUGUGGAUUUUAAGGCCAGAUUUUUUGACCCUUCUUUGAUCGUCACCUAGUCUUCCAGGUAGCAGAUGGUCACAUCGUCUUCCAGGGAGAAGGGCAGGAGGAAUCACUGAUGUCUGCACUCCUACGUGCAACCCCACCUCCACCUUUAAGGAGCUUUUGGGGAAGCCUCAAUCAAUGAUUCUGACAUCUCAUUGGCCAGAGGUCUGUUAAAUGGCCACCCCUAGUUGCAAAGGAGGCUGGGAAAUGUAGUUUUAAUCCCCCGCGACCCCUCCCCUUCGCCCUCACACACCAAGUUGAAAUCACGUUAUUAAUACUAAGAAGGGAGACUCAGCUGGGCGCCGUGGCUCACUCCUGUAAUCCCAGCAUUUUGGGAGGCCGAGGCAGGCGGGUCACCUGAGGUCAGGAGUUCAAGACCAGCCUGGCCAACAUGGUGAAACCCCAUCUCUACUAUAACUACAAAAAUUAGCUGGGCAUGUGCCUGUAAUCUCAGCUACUCAGGAGGCUGAGGGAGGGGAAGAAUCGCUUGAACCCGGGAGGCGGAGGUUGCAGUGAGCCAAGACCACACCACUGCACUCCAGUCUGGGCAACAGAGUGAGACUCUGUCUCUAAAUAAAUAAAUAAAGAAGGGAGACCCAAUUAGGGGUAAGCGUCAUAAGUCUAAAGUAAAGUAGACUUUACCAUUUCAAAGAAUCUUUAAAGCAUGGAAAUUUGUAUCUAGUUUUACAAAAAUCAUCCUAACUCAGUAGUUUAUAGGAGCAACUUUUAUUUGUAACUACCAUGGAGCAAAAUAAUCAUUAUGUAUAAUAAUUAUAUAUGUCGAGGAGACAGUUAAGGGGUGUGUGUGUGUGUGCUCUAAGAAUGUAAACCUCAUUCUUACUGGCUGAGCUUAACUGCACUGCUCCUUGGGAUUUUAAAUAAAUUAGCUGUGUCUUUGUCCGUCAGCAACUCAGUCUCCCUCUAUUAGCAUCUGUGCUGAGUAGUGCACUCCUGAGAACUAAAUGAAGAGCUUCAGUAGUAGUUUCGUAAACCUGAAAUGCAGUGUCUAGAGCAAGUUCAACUUCAUUAGCGAUUUGAAGAGAGAUUUAUCGAGCCAAAGGGAAGACCUCUCUGAACGGAGUUUGUCUGCCUUGAUUUAAGUAACGAAAACAACCAUGGCAUUUGAGUGGUGGUUAGGUUCAGGUCUGAAACAAUUUCUUUGUGAGUCAACUGUUAUUAGCGGUGGAAGAAAGGAUGGGGAUGAAGGGAAGGGCCGGGAGUAGAGACUAUGGCGGGGCAUAGGGGCUGAUCACACAGGGUCUUGCGGGCACAUUAACAGACUGAAUUUUGGCCUUUGGUUCGGUGGUUGGAAACUCUUUUAGGGCCAGGCAGUAACAUCCGUGCAUGAGGCUGGCCAGGGUACAGAAAUAGAGAAAGGAGAAAAACUGCAGGGCUGUAAAGCAUGUGACUCCCCAAAGCAAUGGUCACUACCUGGCUCUAGAGGACUGAUUCCAUGGGAGACUAAAGACCUACCGCUACAAGCCAGUUAGAUUUUUUUUUUUUUUUUUUUUUUUUUGAGACGGAGUCUCGAUCUUGUCACUCAGGCUGGAGUGCAGUGGCGCAAUCUUAUAUCACUGCAACCUCUGCCGCCCAGGUUCAAGCGAUUCUCCUGCCUCAGCCUCCUGAGUAGCUGGGAUUACAGGUGCCUGCCACCAUGCCUGGCUAAUUUUUGUAUUUUUAGUAGAGGCAGGGUUUCACCAUAUUGGCCAGGCUGGUCUCGAACUCCUGACCUUGUGAUCCGCCCGCCUCAGCCUCCCAAAGUACUGGGAUUACAGGUGUGAGCCAUCGCGGCUAGGGCAAGUUAGAUUUAUCAGGAAAAGCCCAGUAUCUAAAUACUUGUAUGAAAUCUGACGUCAUAAUGUUGGAUCAAAUUUUAUAAUGGGUCAAGUGCUGAACAAAGGUGGCCACAGUUAGCAACUGUUUGAUGGGCAACAUGGCGUUAGCAAGGCACUCUGAGCAGGGAAGACACGGAUGCUUUCCCUUUCUCCUCCUCCUCUCUGCCUCCACCUCUUCCUUCUCCCCUCCCUGCCUCCUCUGACAUGAGGUUCUCUCCAGCGGCCGUGGCAAGGAUGCUUUUGAAUGGAGUGGAGGGUAGCACAAGGCAGGUAGGGUAGGCAUUGCCUAAUGGCAGGAAAGCCAGUUAGGAUGUUCUGGUCACAGUCAGGAUUUGAUUUGUUGAGAGUUGGAAUUAAGGCAAUGACAGGACAGAACGAUGGGCUGAAUUCUGGAAUGAUUUCUCAGUCACUCACGGGAGUGGUGUCUGACUGGAUAAGGCACAGGUGGGUGUUAGGAAAGGGAGAAUUUGAGGAAGAGAGUGAUUUUGUUUGAGGUCGAAGUCACCAUCUGGGAUCUUGGCAGCUGAACCUACUCCACAGGGGUGUUUUGUUGAACACAAGGGAUUAAAAUUUCUUUUGAAUUGAUUUUCAUUUCUUAAGAAAAUGCGAGCACUUAUAUUUAAAGCUAGAUUUCCACCUCCUUUUGGAGAAAAAGAAAUCUGAGAGUAUUAGGCAUAGAUUCCAAUAAAGCAACAACAGCUGGAGCUGGGGGGUGGGGUCGGGGCUUGGGUAUUGGGGGAGGUACACGGAUUCCCUAGUAUUUCUUUGCCCCACCUGCCUUCGGUAAGUAUUUGAGUCUGUGACCCCUGAGGGAACCGGUUGUGCAAGUCAUAGGAAUAUACGAGAUCAUUCAGGCACAACAAGGAGAAUUCCAGGCAACAAUCACAUUUCAGGACAGAUAGAAAAGGAGAAGAUUGCAAAAGGGAUUUAGAAGCUUGGGCUGGGAGAGCGGGCAAGCAACAGGAAGGCAAAGUGGAAUAAAAGAUAGAAGUGGGGAACCUGCUGUACGAGGCUACUGAAGAGCCGAGUAGCAUGGGGUUGAAAUGGGUUGUUGAUGUAAAUGUGCCGCGUUGUGGUGGUGGUGGAGAGGUUGUCGGAGCCUAUUAAUGUUAAAAGGAAAAGUGCGCACUCAAUCAGCCUGCAGGUGCAAUUCUUUACCUGCCCUAGAGAAAUGAAAUUCUCAUGGGUGCACAGGGAGAAGUGGUAAAGGGUGCCCUUUGUUGUAUUAUUAUUUGUUUCAGUGAAGAACUAGAAACAACCUAAACGUGCAUCAGGAGUUCAAGACCAGCCCGGCCAAGAGACCAGCCUCGCCAACAUGGUGAAACCCCAUCUCUACUAAACAUACAAAAAUUAGCCGGGCGUGGUGGCGGGCACCUGUAAUCCCAGCUACUCAGGAGGCUGAGGCAGGAGAAUUGCUUGGACCCCAGAGGCAGAGGUUGCAGUGAACCGAGAUCGUGCCACUGCACUCCAGACUGGGUGACAGAGCAAGACUCCAUCUCAAAAAACAAACAAACAAAACCAAAAAGAAACGCCCCCUCACACAAAAAAGUGGAGUUAUAGGAAAAUAUAGCGUUAUAGAUGGCCUGUGCUGCGGCUUCCUCUCCCUCUCCUCCUCCCUCCUCUUCCCCCUCUCAUUUCCACCCCCACUUCUUUAGAAACAGGAUCUGAAGAAAACGCAUCACAUAUACAACACUAGAUACCCUUGAUGUUCCUGAGAUUGGGAAUAAGUGGUUAAAAGUGAAUUUAGGCCAGGGGCAGUGGCUCAUGCCUGUAAUCUCAGCACUUUGGGAGGCCGAGGUAGGAGGAUCACUUGACGUCAGGAGUUUGAGACCAGCCUGACCAAUAUGGUAAAACCCCAUCUCUACUAAAAAUACAAAAAUUAGCCAGGCAUGGUGGCACAUGCCUGUAGUCCCAGCUACUUGGGAGGCCAAGACAGGAGAAUCACUUGAACCCGGGAGGUGGAGGUUGCAGUGAGCCAAGAUUGUGCCACUGCACUCCAGUCUGGGCGACAGAGCGUGACUCCAUCUCAGAAAAAAUAAAAAAAUAAAAAAAAAAUGAAUUUAAUGUUUACCUUUAUCUUUAAAUUGUUGAUUAUCAUUUUAACUAAGAAAGUGCUGUUGUGUAUCACUUGUGCAAUUAGAAAUUAAAGCAUAGCACAAUGGAUUUCGUGUUUUGCAAGGGCUGUUUCAGCAGUUAUGGGAGUGGAAAAUAGAUUACAACAUUCUGAGAAGUAAAUGGGAGGUAAAGAGGCAGAAAUUGAAAUUAAGGGGAAGUGAAACAUAGGGCUACAGGAUGGGGGAAGACAGUCAAGGGAAACUUCUGUGUUGGUUUGCUUUUAACUGGAGUGACCCAAAAGCUCACUAAAAGGGCAUGUUGGCUUCUCCUCAGAGGGCGUUGCUGCUACGGUACAGCAAUGGAAUUUGUUUCUGAGCUGAGAUCACUCCCGUAAUUUACAUCCCAACUCUUCUGAUACAGAAAAGCCUAGAAGGAAGUUGGUGUGAAAUAAAAAUAGUUUGAUUGGUAGAAUCAAAUUAUAAUCUCUGUAUAAAGGCUAAACAUUUGCAUGGGGGAAAUGUUGCUUGAAAUAGGAUACAAAGGAAUGUCCACCAAUAGAGAAAUUAUUAAAUGUUAUAAUAACCUGUAGGGUAGACUAUUAGGUAGUUAUUAAAAAUCAUGUUUUUCAAGUUUUAGAAAAAUUUUAAAACAUGGGAAAAUGCUGGUAAUACAAUGUUUAAUUUUAAAAGUGCAUGCUAUGAAACUUUAUGCAGUUGAGUGCUUACAAAAUAGUAUUUCUGCAUAAAGAAAAAAAGAAGGAAAAGUGGUUAAAAUGUUAACAGUGGUUCUCUCUGGGUGAUGAGGAAAUUGGUGAUUUUAUUUUUCAUGCAUUUCUGUUGACACAACAAUUUUCCGUCAAAAACAUCAUUGCUUUUAUAAUUCCCCAAAGGAACUGUUUUUAAAACUGUAGUUUGAAAAUCAUUUAGGAGGGAAGACAGCCAAGGAAGGGUUCCUGUUUGACAAGCAAUCAGGCAAGCAGGCCGUAAGCAGCCUGGGCUUGGAUUUUGGAGUUUUUUUUCUCCCACCUUUUCCCCAGAUAUCAAAUGUCAGGCCUCCACACCAUUAAAAGGACCUAGAACCAUCAACUUCUCCAAGACUGGGUAACAAAAGUCAACUCUUUCCUGCUCCUAACUCAAGGGGGUGUUGUGUGUUCUUAACUUUAUAAGAGAAACACAGAACUCUAGGGAGCUAUAGACACAAGCUAGCAACAAAGAUGUGGCCCCUGUCUCCUCAGGCUGACCUGAACAAGUUGUGUGAUUCGCUGAGAGAAGGACUCUGCCCGCCUCCCUCAUACUGACCCCGCUGCUUUCCCCAACAUGGCAGGAGGCGAUGCAGCCUCGUGAUUAAGUCUGCAAACUGGGAAUCACACACUCCCAUUUGGAAUCUUUGCUUUUUUGCUUAACAGCUCUGUGGCUUCUGGCAAAUUCUGUAACUUCUUUACACCUCAGUUUUCUCAUGUGUAGAAAGGAGAUGAAGAACCCCACCUCACUGGGUUCCUCUGAAGAUUAAAUGGAAUAACUCCAUAGAGGAGAACAUGCAACAGUUACUGAAUCAAUGAUUUCAUUCUCAGGUUCUCUAAUUUUAUUUUCUUUUCAUCCUGCCUUAUGGCCAUAAUUCAGGUGAUAAAAUAAGAAAGGACAUGGCUGGCUGUGGUGGCUCUUGCCUGUAAUCCCAGAACUUUAGGAGGCCAAGAUGAGAAGAUUCCUUGAGGCCAGGAGUUCAAGACCAGCCUGAGCAACAUAGCUCAAAACAUUCUCUACAAAAAAAUGAAAAGAUUGCUGGGCAUGGUGGCAUGUGCCUGUAGUCUCAAUUACUUAGCAGUCUGAGGCAGAAGGAUCUCUUGAGCUCAGGAGUUUGAGGCUGCAGUGAGCCAUGACUACGCCACUGCACACCAGCCUGGGUGACAGACCAAGGCCCUGUCUCUUAAAAUAAAUAAAUAAAUAAAUAAUAAAAAAAAGGAUAAAGAAAAGAGAGUUUGAGGAGAAAGAUUCUCUCUCUCUCUCUUUUUUUUUUUUUUUGAGAUGGAGUCUCUCUCUGUUGCCCAGGCUGGAGUGGCAGUGGCAUGACCUCAGCCCACCUCAACCUCUGCCUCCCGGGUUCAAGCAAUUCUGCCUCAGCCUCCCGAGUAGCUGGGAUUACAGGUGCCUGCCACCACGCCUGGCUAAUUUUUGUAUUUUUAGUAGACAGAGCGUUUCGCCAUGUUGGCCAGGCUGGUCUUGAACUUCUGACCUCAGGUGAUCCACUCGCCUCGGCCUCCCAAAGUGCUGGGAUUACAGGCGUGAGCCACCAUGCCCAACCCACUGUGGCUUUCUAAAGCCAGACUUAGAGUUAACCAGAUCUGCUGAGAUCUUUCCUUACUUACACCUACUAAAGGUGAAUUUAUUGUUCUUUUGUUAAUGAAUACAUCAAAAUACUCGUAUCUUUUAUUAAUCUCAGAUAAAAGAUCACUAGAGUAUUGGAGGAAUCGUUUCUAAUACAACUUUUUCAGAAGAGGGGAAAGCAGCUUUUCAAAAUGAAAAUGAGGUCACUAUUUCGUUCACGUGACUGUCAUCUUGUGAAGUUCAUUUUAUUACAACCUGAUCUUAUAAAAAGAAUCUCAUUUUGGUUUAACUUUUUUAGGCUACCUAACAGAUAACUUAAAAGUUUAGCUGAGAGUAUUUAUUUCCAAAUUCCACAGUUGUCUUAAGAAAUUUUAGAAAAAAAGGCAAAACACUGUGUACAAAACAGUUCAAUGUGGUGUUAUCUAAAAUAGUGUGGUUUGUAGUAAUUCCACGUAUAAUAGUACAGCAAAAGAAAAAUGACUUAUUCAAGGCUUGUUACACUGACACCAUGAGAUAUCUUGUAGCCAUAAAAUUGUAAUCGUGUUGUUUAUGAGGAAAAAGAAACCAAAGCGAAAUAUAUCUGAUAUAAUUUUACAUACACAAAGCAUAAAACAAAAUAGUUUGCACUGAACUGGGGAGUCAGCCAGCGAGCAUUUAAUUGAGUGCCUACUAUAUGCCAGCUACUUUCAUAAGUAUGAAAUGGUCAAUGUAAAAAAUAUUUGCAAGGACUGUGUAAAAUUAAGAUUGUGCCGGGGAAUGGGAUUAUCAUGGUUGUUUUUCCGUUCUCUCCUCUAACGUUUAAAAAUACGUUGUGGUUUCAUAAUAAAGAAAAAUACAUGUCUGAAACAGCGUCAUAAUAAACGUUGCAGAUGCUGAUUUUGUGCUAACUUGAUGCCAGGCACUGCUCUGAGCAGUGUGUGUCUGUAUCUGAUUUACUUCCAUGAUGAUGGUAUUAUCACCAUAGAACAACGCCAUUAUUACCAUAAUAGCACCACGCCCAUUUUAUAGUGAAGAAACUGAGACAGGAUGUUCUAGCUCAGUGUCUUAGCUUGAACAAGCUCUCCCACUUAGCUCAGUGGGAAUCCAUGUUCUUAACCAAGACUUCCAGCAUAUCACACAGGGGUCUGCAAUACAGUUAUGCAUGUGGCAGCUCCUAUAGUAUUUUCUCGACAUUUGGCCUUUGGAGUGGCUCCCUCCCAUUAUACUGGGGUGUUCUGUGUUUUUCUGAUUUAUCACUCCCCUAAAUCUUUACUCAUAGGCAAUACUCAAUCAGGCAUUGAAUAAAUCAAUCAAUUCCCCUCUCAUAAAAGAGGCCAGGGAUAAUGUUGUUCACUUUCUUUUCUUUUAGAAGUGUCUGUCAGCUCCCUGAGAUUUUCAUAGAAUUUUUUUUUCCUACAUGCCCCACCACUGCCAGUUUCAACAGACAAGGCUAACUCAGUUCACUAGACAAGCAAACACUUCAACUGAGAAGGCAGUGAUAAACACAGGAAGUUAUUUCACCCUGGGAAUAUUCCGGAAACCAACUUUGAAUAAUUGCUUCAUGUUCAGUUGGACACAAGUUCACUCCCAGGUUGACUCACGUAUGUAAAUGCUCCUGACUACCAUCUGACUGCAUCACACACACACCCCUACCUUUCCAAAAUGCUAACUACACAGCAUGAAUCAGCCGCUCCUGAUUCAGAGCCCCGAGUCCUUCAUCAUCAACCUGGGCUCCUGCCUUUGUCUCCUACCCUCAUCCAGUCCAACAGCAAACCCCACCCGCCCCAUCUUCUAAAUAAAUCCAGAAUCUGAUCACUCCUCACCAUCCUGCAGCAGCACCUCAGUCAAAUUCCAGUCAUCACUGAGCUGCGUGACAGCAACAGCCUCCAAACUCCUCUCCCCGUUUCUUCCAUUGGAAGGCUUGGAGCUGAUCUGACUUAAAUUUUAAAAGACUCAUUCUGGCCGCUGUGUGGAGGGUGCACUGGAAGCUCACCUCUUUCUCUGGACCAAUUUCUAUCUGCUUUUUCCCUUCACAUCUAAAAUAGGUGCUCCCCGGGGAUUUGGCUCCUGAUCUUAUACAUACAUGUAUAUAUAUAUAUGGGGCGUGUGUAUAUAUAUACACACACACACACACGCACACACACAUAUUUGAAAUGGAGUCUCACUCUGUCACCUAGGCUGGAGUGCAGUGGCGUAAUCUCGGUUCACUGUAACCUCUGCCUCCCGGGUUCAAGUGAUUCUCCUGCCUCAGCCUCCCGAGUAGCUAGGACUAUAGGCAGGCACCACCACGCCUGGCUAAUUUUUGUAUUUUUAGUAGAGAUGGGGUUUUGCCAUGUUGGCCAGGCUGGUCUUGAAUACCUGGGAUUACAGGAGUGAGCCACUGUGCCCGGCCGCUGAUCCAAUAUUUUACAAAGUUUGUGAAGAGGAUGACUAAUUCGUGGAAUCACAGGUUUUAAUAAGUUCAGGGGCACUGGGCUCAGCAACUUGCAACUGGUUAUUUACUGCAGGGAUUCUCAGAACCUUUAGUAUCCUCACGUGUCCUGGGGAUCCUCAAGAGAAAGACAACAGUGGGUGUUUUCAAACCAUGAUGUUGUCUCAGAUUCCUCCAGGGCUUGCUCCCUUUGUCCUUCAGGUUCAUGCUCCAUGUCACCUCCUCAGAGAAGCUGUCGCUGGCUAUCCAUAACAUCCCGUCCUCUUUCCCUGACUUAGUAUUUUGGGAUGUGUGGCAUUUAUCAACAUUAAUAAAACGAUAUCUCUUUUUUCCUAUUUAUUACUAUUAUUUUUGCUUAUGUAACCUCUUGAAUUAUCUUUGCUGAUUAGUUUCUGCUACUUAGAGUCAGUAACCCAGAAUCUAUUAAUAUAACCUUCAGGAGUGUGCAUGACGAAGUUAUAUUCUGUCCUGCUUAGUCUUCAGUGGUCACACGUUUUUUGUUUUUUGUUAGACAAAACAAAACAAAAACCCAAAAACGUGUGACCACUGAAGGUCAAACGUGUGACCCUGCUCUGUUGCCCAGGCUGGAGUGCAGUGAUGCCAUCUCAGCUCCCUGCAACCUCCGCCUCCCAGUCUCAAGCAAUCCUCCCAUCUCAGCCUCCUGAGUAGCUGGGACUAAGGGCACACACCACUACACCCAGCUAAUUUUUUUGUAUCUUUUUUUUUUUUUGAAGGAGUUUUUGGUCUUGUUGCCCAGGCUGGAAGCAAUGGCGGGAUCUCGGCUCACUGCAACUUUUGCCUCCCGGUUUCAAGCAAUUCUCCUGCCUCAACCUCCUGAGUAGCUGGGAUUACAGGCAUGCACCACCAAGCCUGGCUAGUUUUGUUUUUUGUUUUUUGUUUUUUUUUUGAGACGGAGUCUCCCUCUUUCGCCCAGGCCAGACUGCAGUGGCGCGAUCUCGGCUCACUGCAAGCUCCGCCUCCUGGGUUCACGCCAUUCUCCUGCCUCAGCCUCCAGAGUAGCUGGGACUGCAGGCGCCCGGCUAAUUUUUUGUAUUUUUAGUAGAGACAGGGUUUCACCAUGUUAGCCAGGACGGACUCGAUCUCCUGACCUCGUGAUCUGCCCGCCUCGGCCUCCCAAAGUGCUGGGAUUACAGGUGUGAGCCACCGUGCUCUGCCUAGUUUUGUAUUUUUAAUAGAGACGGGGUUUCUCCAUGUUGGUCAGGCUGGUCUCGAACUCCCAACCUCAGGUUAUCCGCCCGCCUCAGCCUUUCAAAGUAGUGGGAUUACAGGCGUGAGCCACCGCACCUGGCCUUUUUUUUUUGUAUCUUUAGUAGAGAUGGGGUUUUGCCAUGUUGCCCAGGCUGGUUUCAAACUCCUGAGCUCAAGCAAUCUGCCUGCCUUGGUCUCCCAAAGGAUGGGAUUACAGGCAUGAGCCGCCCGUGCCCGGCCUUUGUUUUUCCUAUUUAUUAUCUGACUUUCCCCGCUAGACUGUAAGAUCCAGGAGAGCAAGAGCUUUGUCAGCCUCGCUCUCUGUGCAGCUAGACUGUAAGAUCCAGGAGAGCAAGAACUUUGUCAGCCUCGCUCUCUGUGCAUCUUCAGUUUCUACAACAGCACGUAACAUGCAGUAGGUGCUCUCAUUAAAUCUUGUUGAAUGGACACAGGUGUAUUGAUUUUCUAUCAUUAUGUAGCAAAUCACUGCAGAGUUAGUCACUUAAAACAAUACCCAUUUACUGUCUAACAGUUUGAGACUCUGGGUAUAAGUUAGAUGGGUCCUUCGCUUUGAGUCUCACUCGGCUGAAAUCAACAUGUUGGUCAGGGUUGUCAUCUCAUUUGAGGCCUGGGUCCUCUUCUGAGCCCACUAGUUUUUGACAGAAUUCAGUUCCUGGGCAGUUGUAGGACUGAGGGACUCAGCUCCUGGAGCUCCUAGUUGGCCGCUGUGUUGUUCUCUCCACAGCAUGGCAGUUUGUCUUGUGUCCCAUACAAAGCCAUGGGACAACGUCUGCUGCUGCUUCCCUAGUUCCUUUUAAGGGAUCACCUGAUUAAACCAGGCCUACCCAGGAUAAACUUCCUCUUGAUCAAAUCAGAGUCAACUGACUGGGGACCUUAGAUACAACAUUCUUUUACCUUUGUCAUGUAACUUAAUCAUAGUAGUGAAAGCUCAUCAAUUCAAAGGUCCAGCCAAUGUUCCAGGUAAGGGGAUUAUGGAUGCCAUGUACACCAGGUCAAGGAGGGGACAAUCUUGGGGACCACUUUAGAAUUCUGCCUAGCACAAUGUGAAGCUUUAUAUCCCUUAGAAUACCUUAUAGGAUUGGUGGUCCUCUGGGAAAUGCUUUGAGAAAGGUGCUUUCUCUUCCCCAAUUCAUCAACCUCAUUUCUUAAACUAGAGAGCAUAUCUGCAGACAGCUCUGGGGGCUGAGCAGGUAAGAAGAGUUCUGUGGGGAUUGUGUAAAAGUGAGACUAAGCCCCAGCAAAGGGGAAGGGUCAUUUGGUGUCCUAUAUUUUGUCCGUGAUCCCCCAACUUCCAAUAUUUCAAGAGAACAUGGAAAUCUGAAUUUGCAUAUGCAUUUUUCUGGUGUUUAAAUCUUGGAAACAAAUUCAAGUUUUAGCAGAAUGCGUUGCCCUUUCCCGAAGAAACAUGACUGUAGGCUGUACUGGGGAGGUUGCGUUGAAAAUUGUUGCUGAAAUGAUCACUGUCUUUUGAAGGCUACUGCACCCAUAUCUUUGACUGGAAACUCUUCUCUGAAGUGUCAUUUACAUUUCUACUUGCUUGCAUGGUGGAAAUGUUUCUUGAGCUCAGAACAGAAAGUCCACUAACAGUUUCAUCAUAUUUUUACUCCCUCCUCAUAGUCACACGUCCUUCCUGGUGGGGUUAAGGGUUUUCACAUACACCUGUUCAACCAACCUCAGACCUCAGUGAUGUUUAUGACUUGUUCUGUCUCUGUCACUUUCCUAACAUCCAACUAUCAUGGGGUGAAAAAAAUCGCUCUUAGAAAAGCUGCUUGAAGCCCUCUCUCUCCUGGCAGGAGGGCAGGAGGAUGUAUUUAUGGAGAAAGUUUGCUUUUUCCUUGGAAAAUCAUGCUAAUAGAACUUGAAUUACAGAAUUUAAAGCCUGUCAGGGAGGAAAGUGACAAAUUAACCUACUUGGAAGAGAAAUGGAAAAGCAGGUCUUAUGAAUGAUCAGAUUCUGUCACUUCCCUGCCCAAAAUGCUCUAGCAUCUUCCUAUCAAGUUCAGGCUAAAAUCCAGGUCUUACCAUCAUGGUUACAAGGUCUUUCUGGUUUCUGACAGCCUGUCCAACAUUAUCCAAGGGCACACGAGCUCUUUUCAAUGUGUCAAAUGUGCAUUCACCUUAGGGCUUGUACAGUACCUCUUCCUUUUGUCUGGAAUGCUUUUCUUCCUCAUAUUUGCAUGAUUCACUCCCCAGUCUAUGAAACUCUGUGGUCAAAUGUCAUCUUAAAAGAGCCUUUCCCUGAUCAACCCAACUAAAUUCACAUGCCCUUUUCUCGGUAUUACUCCACUUUUUCAUUUACUAAUAGCAUAUUCCAGUUUUUGACAUCUUAUCACUAGUUGUUUGUUUAUUGCCUGUUUCCUGUACCAAAAUAUAAGCUCCUUGAAGGGAAGAACUUUGUUUUGUUCACUUCUUUAUUCUAAGAAAUUAGAACAGUGCCUUAUCCACAGCAUAGAUUCUCAGUAAAUAUUUAUUCAAUGAAUGAACGAAUGCAAGGAUGGAUGAACAAAUGAAUGGUAGGUCUGUUAAUCUAUCAAUAAGAGGUGUUGCAUCUCUGCAAAGAGAUGUUUUGUUGUACAUUUAUUUUCUUUUCAUAACUGUCUUUAUUAUCUCCUUGUUUCUAAUUUUUCUAGGUUUGAUUGCUUUUAUUUUUCUAAUUUUCUAAAGUGUGUGCUUAGGUCAUUGAUUUUCUUCCUCUCUUGUUAGCUAAUAUGUGUAUUUAAAGAUAAACAUUUCCCUAUAAGCACAGCUUUAGCUGAAUCCUACAUUUUGAUAUGUCAAAUAAAUAUUUUCUAAUUUCUACUGUGAUUUCUCUUAAAUCAUGAGCUAUUUGGAUUGCUUUGCCUCAUUUUCAAUUAUUUAGACAUUUUCUUAUCCUUAGUUAUUGGUUUCUAGCUAAUUCCACUGUAGUCAGAGAACAUAUUGUGUGUUUUUAGCAUUUGAAGUUUGUUGAGACCUACUCCAUAGUCCAGCAUGUGACAACUUUUGUUAAAUGUUCCGUGUGCACUUAGAAAAAGAAGAGGUAGUGUGCAGUUAUUGGUUGGUUUGUUCUACAAAUGUCAGUUAGGCUGAGUGUGUAAAUAGUGCUGGUCAAAAUUUCUCCAUUCUUACUGACUUAAAUUAUCUUUUUGUUUAUCAGUUGCUGAUAGAAAUAGGUUAAAGCCUACUUCUAUAAUUGUGGAUUUAUUUCUCCUUUUAGAUCUGGCAGUUUCUGCUUUAUGUAUAUUGAAACUAUUCUAGCAGGUACUGUAGAUUUAGAAUUGCUUUUUCUUGUAGGAUUGACCCUUUUUGUUAUUAUAAGAUAAUCCUCUUUACCUUUUAUAUUGUUUCUUUUCUUAAAGUGUAUUUCAUCUGA